rnacentral:rRNA from 1 species
GACGAACGCUGGCGGCAGGCCUAACACAUGCAAGUCGAACGGGGCAGCAAUGCCUAGUGGCGGACGGGUGAGGAAUACGUAGGAAUCUGCCCUUAAGUGGGGGAUAACCAGGGGAAACCCUGACUAAUACCGCAUGAUCUCUUCGGAGCAAAGAGGGGGACCGCAAGGCCUCUCGCUUCUGGAUGAGCCUACGUCUGAUUAGCUAGUUGGUAGGGUAAAGGCCUACCAAGGCGACGAUCAGUAACUGGUCUGAGAGGAUGAUCAGUCACACCGGAACUAAGACGCGGUCCGGACUCCUACGGGAGGCAGCAGUGGGGAAUAUUGGACAAUGGGCGAAAGCCUGAUCCAGCAAUGCCGCGUGUGUGAAGAAGGCCUUCGGGUUGUAAAGCACUUUAGCCUGGAAAGAAAAAACUUUGGUUAACACCCAAAGUCUUGACGGUACCAGGAGAAUAAGCACCGGCUAACUCUGUGCCAGCCGCCGCGGUAAUAC